AACGAACGCUGGCGGCAUGCCUAACACAUGCAAGUCGAACGAUACCUUCGCGUCUAGUGGCGCACGGGUGCGUAACGCGUGGUAACCUGCCCUUAGGUUCGGAAUAACUCCCCGAAAGGGGUGCUAAUACCGGAUAAUGUCUUCGGACCAAAGAUUUAUCGCCGUUGGAUGGGCCCGCGUUGGCUUAGCUAGUUGGUAGGGUAAAAGCCUACCAAGGCGACGAUACAUAGCUUGUCUGAGAGGAUGAUCAGCCACACUGGGAGUGAGACACGGCCCAGACUCCUAGGGGAGGAGGCAGUGGGGAAUAUUGGAAAAUGGGCGACAGACUGAGCCAGCACGGGCGGGUGAGUGAUGAAGGACUUAGGGUUGAAAAGCUCUUUUACACGGGAGGAUAAUGACAGUACCGGAAGAAUAAGCUCCGGCUAACUCCGUG
rnacentral:rRNA from 1 species